rnacentral:rRNA from 1 species
UACGGAGGGUGCGAGCGUUGUCCGGAAUCAUUGGGCGUAAAGGGCGCGUAGGUGGCGGCUUAAGCGUGCGGUGAAAGCUCGGGGCUCAACCCCGAGUCGGCCGUGCGAACUGAGUCGCUUGAGCACUGUAGAGGCAGGCGGAAUUCCGGGUGUAGCGGUGGAAUGCGUAGAGAUCCGGAAGAACACCGGUGGCGAAGGCGGUUAGCUGGGCAGUUGCUGACACUGAGGCGCGAAAGCGUGGGGAGCAAACAGGG